UCUUCUGUAGUGUGUAUUCUACAUUUUGUCUAUAUUGUGUACUAGGGUGUAUUUUGUAUAUAAAGCGUGUAGUAUGUGCUGCCCAUUUAUUGUGUAGCAUAUUUUAUUAAUAUUGUGUUUGUAUAUUUAUUUAUACUGUAUUUAAUGUUUAUAGUUUGUGUGGCAUGCAUGUAUAUGUUGCAUAUUUUUUCUAUAUAUUUGUUGUAUGGUAUAUAAAUAAUGUAUUUUGUGUUCGUAAUGGUAGUGUGUGUAAUGUAUUUAAGUAUGUUUGCGGUACAUGUAUUCUACGAAUGUUUGUGUAUUUUAUUUAUAGUGUGUUUAAUCUUUAGAUGGAAAGAUCUAACGACUCAAUUAUUUUCGCAAGUCAUAUUUAUUUAUUCCCUUAUAAUACCAAAAAGUUAAUAUUGUCAUUCAAGUUCAUUAAAUUGUUAUUCCAAUCCCUAUAAUCAUGUACGUCUAUCUUUUUUCCAUUCUCAUUUUCCUUGCGUGAUUUAUUGGGGAGUUAAUAAUCAUUUUCUUCAACUCCUACCAUUUUUACAUCUUCUUCAACAGAUCUUGUGUGUGUUGAUAAUAUUAUUCUACACUCCGUCACCACUUUAUUUCAUCGGUCAAACGCACCGUUUCUCCACAAAUGGAAACCGUAGCAGAUCCUUCUUCGCUUGAAGACAAUCAGUCAAUCUCCGAUGACGUGCUUGAAAGCACAGGUUCUGUUGUGAAAUUUAAAGAGAAAGAAAAGCGGAGAUCUAGAAGAUAUUCUGAAGUUUGAACUCAAUUCAGUUUAAUUUUCAUUUUGUACGCCAUUUACUUGCAUUGUCCGUUUGUUUGAUAUGAACAGUUAUUGUUUGCUUUUUUAGCUAUCACCGGUUGAUCAGAGUUGUAUGACAUACAUUACCCCUGAUUGUACUCAUUUUGAUCAGAUUUGUAUGACGCAUUUUGGUACUCUAUAAUAUUAUAUAAUGACUCGAAUAUUGGAUUAUUA